rnacentral:rRNA from 1 species
AUUGAACGCUGGAGGCGUGCUUAACACAUGCAAGUCGUGCGAGAAAGGGACUUCGGUCCUGAGUAGAGCGGCGCACGGGUGAGUAACGCGUGGGUAAUCUCCCUUGGUGAUCGGGAUAACAGCGGGAAACUGCUGCUAAUACCGGAUAAUCUUCAUGUUUAACUUCAUGGGGUAAAGGUGGCCUCUGCUUGCAAGCUACCACACCGAGAUGAGCCCGCGUCUCAUUAGCUAGUUGGUAGGGUAAUGGCCUACCAAGGCUACGAUGAGUAGCUGGCCUGAGAGGAUGACCAGCCACACUGGGACUGGAAAACGGCCCAGAAUCCUACGGGAGGCAGCAGUGGGGAAUAUUGCGCAAUGGGCGAAAGCCUGACGCAGCGACGCCUCGUGAGGGAUGAAGGUCUUCGGAUCGUAAACCUCUGUCAAGAGGGAAGAAACCCUUGGAUUCGAAUAGGGUCCUUGGCUGACGGUACCUCAAAAGGAAGCACCGGCUAACUCCGUGCCAGCCGCCGCGGUAA